rnacentral:rRNA from 1 species
CCCUCUAAGCUUGGGAUAACAUUGCGAAGGCGGUGCUAAUACCGAAUAAGACCACGGUAUCAUAUGAUACAGUGGGAAAAGGUGGCCUCUGUAUAUGCUAUCACUUGGAGAUAAGCUCGCGGACCAUUAGCUUGUUGGUAGGGUAACGGCCUACCAAGGCCAAGAUGGUUAGCUGGUCUGAGAGGAUGAUCAGCCACACUGGAACUGAGACACGGUCCAG